CAUGCAGGCCUAGGGGAGUAAUUUUUCUUUGGCCUCGGGGCCUAAGUUGAAUUUCUUCUGAGCAACUGGAACAUUUUGAUUCUAUGGGCAUUGGGGACAUUAUAAUUGGUUGUGAUUCCUCUUUUGAUUUGGCUGUGUAUCAACCGACAACGCUUUCAGCCACAAUUACUUAAAAUAUCUUAAGUAGCUUUUUUUUUUUCUUUGCACAUAGCAAGCAGCCUGAAGGUAAGUGACUGCUAGGAUUGCUUCAGCGUCUCAUCUGGUGACCAGUGUCUCUGAAUUUCCUUCAGACACAGGGUGGCUGCUGCAGCUUUGACUGUGGUUCUCAAACUUUGGUGUGUAUUGGAAUCAGCUGGAGAGCGGAAAGCACAGCCCAGGCUCCUUGAAGAACACAGCCCAGGCCUUUUAUAGGGUCACCACGUUCCUCAGGUGAUUCCAGUGUUGGCCAAACUUGAGAACCGCUGCUCUAGCGUCUGCCGCUCAAGACCAGAAGGGAGAAACAAGUCCAGCAGGGAAUGGAGCAUUGUGGAGGAAGCCUGUCUGCAAUCCUCCGAAGCAUGGAAUUAGAUCAUCAUUAUCUACUCAAAGAGCCCAGAACUACGCUCAAGAAGCAACCAGAACUCAGAAUCUAUUUGCCGAGGAAUUCAACAAGUUGAUUGAGGCUUGGAUUCUUGCUCAUUUCUCAUCCACUCCAUUGCCUACAUCAAUAGGGAGAAACGUAUAACUUCUGUCAGAACUGUCAUGUUAAAUAAAUGAGCAUCCUGUUGUA
rnacentral:lncRNA from 1 species